UACGUAGGGUGCGAGCGUUAAUCGGAAUUACUGGGCGUAAAGGGUGCGCAGGCGGCUCCGCAUGUCGGGCGUGAAGUCCCCGGGCUUAACCUGGGAAUUGCGUCCGAAACUAUGGAGCUGGAGUGUGGCAGAGGGAGGUGGAAUUCCACGUGUAGCGGUGAAAUGCGUAGAGAUGUGGAGGAACACCGAUGGCGAAGGCAGCCUCCUGGGCCAACACUGACGCUCAUGCACGAAAGCGUGGGGAGCAAACAGG
rnacentral:rRNA from 1 species